rnacentral:lncRNA from 1 species
UGUGGUCACAUUUGGACUGCAAGAGCUUUUCUCCAUCUGAUUACAAAUAGAUAUGGCAUCAGCCAUAUUCCCAAUGCGGCACAAACCGUGUAUGAGGGCAUUGUAUGAAACAACAUUCGGCUUAAUUCCCUCCAUAAUCAUAAGGUUCCACAAUUCAAGAGCUUCACCAAGUUUCCCUCCCAAUAAAUAGCCUUUUAUGAGCGAAGAAUAAGUAUGAAUAUUAGGGCUGCAUCCUCUCUCAAGCAUUUGUGCAAAAGCAGCAAGAGACAAGUCAAUAUUUCCCAUAUCAGAAAGACAACUGAUAAUAGUAGAGUAACUGAUAACAUUUGGGUCAAUGCCCUUAAACACCAUCUCAUUCAACAAACAAAAUGCCUCCUUUAUUUUGUAUUCUUUGCAAAAGCCAUUGAUCAAAGCAUUGUAGACAGGUACUACAGGAGCAAACCCCUUGGCUAGCUCCUUUGCCUUCUCUACUUGACCAAGUUUACAAACAGAAGACACUAUAGUAGUGUAACUCACAGCAUCUGGAGGACAACCCUUAUUCGACAUUUCUUCAAGCAGCUUGCAGGCACCAUCCACCUUCCCAUUCUUACAUAAUGCCUUGAGAAGCAUGUUAUAUGUGAACCCAUUUGGUUCCAACCCUUCACCCUUCAUGUUGUUAUACACAGGACUAAUCAUCUGAAACCUAUUUUCACCAAGCAAUGCAUCUAAAAGGUGAUUGUAUAUCUUAACUGUGGGCUUGCACCCAAAUUCCCUUAUCCUAUAAAACAUCUUUAAAGCUUGAUCAGCCAACCCUGCUCUCCUAUAUGAAUUCAUCACACAUAUGAACAAAUCUUCAGAGCAAGCCACACCUUCAAGCUUCAUCUGCUGCAAUAGAUACUGAACACCAUCCAUUUCACAGUUUCUCCCAAGCUUCUCAAUCAUGAGCUGAUAUGUAAAUUGAGUAUGCUUGAAAGCUCCAGAAUUGGCCAAAGACUUGAAAUAUUCAAGUGCCAAACCAAUAUCUCUCUCAUGUUUCAAUCUCUUCAAUACAUGGAACUCUUCAACAGAAGGAGCAUUAGUGGGUUGAGGUUGGGAAUUACUUUCAAGAUUGAAAAUUGGGUUCGUGUUAAGCACCAAGGGAAUUGAAGGCUUGCGCACUUUUAACAACAAGGAACACCCAUCUCUCAAAUACAUGAUUAUAGUAUCGGAAAAAAAUUGCUGUGAGAUAAGAGAAUUGAGUUAGCUUUAAGAAGCUGGAAUAUACUUGGAAAAAAAGUUAAAAUAAACGUGUUUAACUGUUCAUGCUUUGUCUGUGUCUACGAAAUUUAGAGUAUGGUCUCCGCAAAAUCCAAUUUUCUUCUUUAUUUUAUAUUCAUGAAUGGAUCUAUGCCCAAUAAGGAUGAUGUUUUGAUCCUAUUCAAUUUUAUUUCGAGGCUUUUGCUUAUAUAUUUUCUGUUAACCAGCCCAUAUUAGUUAGGAAAUUAGGAAUCUUCCACCCAAAAAAGAGCGGAACAAAGGGUCAAAUAAAAUGGGUAAAUUGUAGAGGAUAGCUGUGAACAAAAAACAGCAGUUCAGGUCAGAGUGUGAUUACAAUUCAAAUUGGCAAUUGCUUUUGCAGUAACUUGUCCCCAAGAGUACAAACAAAGAUAUACCUAAACAAAUAGGACAUAGACUUACUUUUUGAUGUCCUCCAGAAUGGCUUUUGCGCCUCUAUACAUCUGCAGAAGUUGAACCAUAUAAAUCAAGUAAUUCCCAUGAUACUUCAACAGCUAUAAUAGACAAUUUUGAGGACAGGACUCACAGUUGAUCCACAGUCACCAUCACCAACUUUACUGUCCCAAUCAUUUAGGCUGUCCUUAAGAUCUAGAAUAACAUUUGCAGCGGUUUCAAUGGCAAUCUCAAGGACUUGGCCUUGCUCACUUAGCUGCAGAGGUCGUCUCUGUGGCUUAUGUAAAGUAAACAUAGGAACCAUAUUUCAAAAAUUAUAUCAGGAUAUAAGUACAUAUACAGUUGACUUGAUUAACAUAGAUUUAAUAAAACUCAACCAGCUUUCAAAUGAUAUUGACAAGUCAAUUCUAUUUUUACCAGAUUCACCAAUAGCAUGAACAUGUGAGAAAGGAGAAUAAUCAUAACUAUGAGAAAUAUAUUAUGAUCAUGCCAAAGAUAUCACGAGAAAAAUCAGUGGCCAGAUGCUGGUUUUGGGCUUCCAGCAAGAAGUACAGAAAUUGAUGGUGGAACGAAGCAUAAACAUAAACAUGAAUUAUGACAACUCAGUAAGGUAUCAUUUGAUCCAUAUAGCUAACUUCACUUAGUUGGACAAGACUUGGUUGUUGUUGAUGCAGUAUGCACUAGGAAGUAUUACAAAGCACAGAGAUUCUUGGAUGGAAAGGACACAAGUCUAACAAUUCACUGGCUUUUCAAGGUAAAUUCAAUUGUUAUUGUGUCACAUCAUUUUUUCCUGAGUGUCUCUAUAUGUAAGUUGUUAAACUAGUACUCGUCACAGAAUUUUUCUAUGUGGAAAGGGUGGUGUAAAUUUCUAAUAAAAAUAUUCAACCAUGUCGAAAUGCCACUAACCAGUGAGCCAAAUAAACUUGUAUCAAACAUGUUUGAAUAUAAUUUUCCUUUAACUACUUCUCAACCACAACUGCUAAAUGUCAUGGAAGAAAUGAUGUAAUUCCCCGUGUAUGAAGUAUAUACCUCAUUGCCCUUUGCUGAUGGAGAUGGCGGGACUGGAAUAGGAAUCUUAGUAGGCGGGUGAACACCUUAAAAGAGAAGAAAGUUCAAAAGUUCAAUGAACUAGUAGUUUAAUGGUUCCAUCAAUAUUACAUUUGAACAAACAUUAUCCAGAGGUAAAAGCCAAGUUAUUAGAAUAAUCCAGCUAUUAACAACUAAAGAAAUUACUGACCAUCAACUCCAACAGGCCAAGACGGUGCUUUGGUACUGGCAUCUGAUCGCUCAAGUUCAUAAACAAUAUAAGAGAAUUUAAGUCCUACAAAAUUACCAUAAUUUAAGGCCAUCAUUAUUCAAUCAUUAAAGAAUCUGAAAUUGCUUGUCAUCCAUUUCCCAAGAUAUCAUCCAAGAUACGUGUUGGUCCCAUAUGACCCAUGUUGUUAAAGAAACCUCGAAUUAACACAUCCCAAGUGGCAACAUUGGGAAGGAUUCCUUUACUCAACAUCUUAUUAUGAAGAUACACAACGGCUUCUUCAGUGCCUAACCAAUUGCAAAUACCCCACAAGAUACAAGUAUGUGAUAUUAUGUCUGGAUACAACUCCUUUUCUUCAGUAUAUUUAUCCAAAAUUUGCAUGGCAGUUCUAACCUUACCCAACUUACUAUAUGCAUGAAUAAUUACAUUGACUGUAAUGGCGUCGGGAUUUACUCCAUUCACCAACAUUUUCCCCAGAAUUUGGAAAACCCGUUCUUGCAUCCCAACAGAAGAAAAUCCAUGCAUAAUAAUGUUGUAAGUGAUCGUAUUUAGUUCCACAUUCCUGUCUUCAAUAUCCUUUAUAAGUCCACAAGCUUCUCUGAAUCUGUUCACCCUAAAAAGACCAUCCAACAACUCAUUAUAUGUUCUAAUAUUAGGCAAACAAUCAUAUUUCUCCAUCUGAUGAAGUACACUCAUGGCCCCUUCUACUCUUCCGUUAGCACACAAGCCCUUGAUCAAUGUGUUGAAUGUGACAACAUUUGGUGGGCAACCAUCAGCAACCAUAUUUUCAAUAAGACUAUGAACUUGGUUAAACAUAGACAUUUGACAAAGAACAUCCACCAUAGUGGUGUAUACCACAACAUUAGGAUGGCAACCGCAAUUUAUCAUCUUGUUCCAUAUUGCAGAGGCACCUAGCAAGUCCCCAGCUUUUGCGAAACCGGAUAUUAAAGUGCUAUAUGUGGUCACAUUUGGACUGCAAGAGCUUUUCUCCAUCUGAUUACAAAUAGAUAUGGCAUCAGCCAUAUUCCCAAUGCGGCACAAACCGUGUAUGAGGGCAUUGUAUGAAACAACAUUCGGCUUAAUUCCCUCCAUAAUCAUAAGGUUCCACAAUUCAAGAGCUUCACCAAGUUUCCCUCCCAAUAAAUAGCCUUUUAUGAGCGAAGAAUAAGUAUGAAUAUUAGGGCUGCAUCCUCUCUCAAGCAUUUGUGCAAAAGCAGCAAGAGACAAGUCAAUAUUUCCCAUAUCAG